rnacentral:rRNA from 1 species
AUUGAACGCUGGCGGAAUGCUUUACACAUGCAAGUCGAACGGCAGCACGGGAGCUUGCUCCUGGUGGCGAGUGGCGAACGGGUGAGUAACAUAUCGGAACGUAUCCAAUAAUGGGGGAUAACUAAGCGAAAGCUUGGCUAAUACCGCAUACGCCCUGAGGGGGAAAGCUAGGGAUCUUCGGACCUGGCGUUAAUGGAGCGGCCGAUAUCUGAUUAGCUAGUUGGUGAGGUAAAAGCUCACCAAGGCGACGAUCAGUAGCUGGUCUGAGAGGACGACCAGCCACACUGGAACUGAGACACGGUCCAGACUCCUACGGGAGGCAGCAGUGGGGAAUUUUGGACAAUGGGCGCAAGCCUGAUCCAGCCAUUCCGCGUGAGUGAAGAAGGCCUUCGGGUUGUAAAGCUCUUUCGCAAGGGAAGAAAGAUUACGCUCUAACAUAGCGUGAUUAUGACGGUACCUUGAUAAGAAGCACCGGCUAACUACGUGCCAGCAGCCGCGGUAAGAC